rnacentral:tRNA from 1 species
CGGGAAGUAGCUCAGUUUGGUAGAGCACCUGGCUUGGGACCAGGAGGUCGCAGGUUCGAAUCCUGUCUUCCCGA